UCACCUCGCCCCGACGGCGGCCUCCGGGAGUCGGCGCCCGCCCGUCGCGCCGCCUCACCGCCGUACCACCCGCCGCCUCCUCUGCAACCUCAGCCCACCGGGCGGACCCGGCCCAGGUCACUGGCGGCCCAGGCGCAGGCUCACACCCUAGAUUGCUGUAUCACCACAGAAGAAGAGCUCCACCUCUGAAGUUGUAAACGCAGACACCUGAUCUCUGACUGUCCCUUGGCCGUUCUCAGAAUUCUGCCCACUGUUGUCUGGCCUGCGGAAGCCUCCAGUCCACUUGUCCUUCUACUUUGUUGUUUCUUGGAAACAGUGGCCUGCUCUAAAGACUCCAUUUGCUUCAUCUUUCCUGUAUUUCAUAGUCCCUGGAAAUUCUCACUUCUGCCUCACCACAGCACUGAAACCUCCUUCAUUAAAGACAUUAAAGUUCUAGUCUUUACCUUGCUUGACCUUUCAACAGCAUUUGUCAUUGCUGUCCUGUCUUGCUUCCUCAGUCACUCUUAUUUUUAUAUGACCCCCCCCACCUGAUUUCCCCUUAUAUCUCUAGUCUCCCCGCCCCUCCCCCAUGCUCCUCUGUAGCCUCUUUUCCUUGGCCAUGAGAGAAACCAAGUCACUCUCCUUGGGCAGUCUUAUCCACUGCAUGGUUCCAUUUCCACAAGUGAUGCCCCUCAAAGCUUAUAUCGCCAGCCCAGCCCUUGACCCUGAGUUCCAGACCCAAACAGCCAGCCAUAGACUUCUACAUCUCCGUCUGACAUCACCUUGCAUGCACGUGUCCACGGUGAAUUGAUCACUCUCUCACUUCCAGUCCAACUUCUCCUUCACUGUCCCCUGUCUCCAAAAAUGGCAUCACCAGUCUCUCAGUUGCUGAAACCAAGACACCAGAAGUCACCCCUAAUUACUCCUUCUCCCUCCCUCCUCCAUUAAUUCACUAAGACCUGGCAAGUCUAUUCCGAAUGUCUUUCAAAUGCACACAUUUUUUUCACUCCUCCACCGUUUCCGGCCUGCACACCUGCAGCAAGUAGCCUUCUCUGUAGUUGUUUGUUUGCUUGUUUUUUAAGGAAAACUCUAAAAUGCAUCUCUGACUUCACUUCUUUUUUGCCUAAAACUGU